rnacentral:misc_RNA from 1 species
GAUGAAGAACGCAGCGAAAUGCGAUAAGUAGUGUGAAUUGCAGAAUUCAGUGAAUCAUCGAAUCUUUGAACGCACAUUGCGCCCCUUGGUAUUCCAUGGGGCAUGCCUGUUCGAGCGUCAUUUGUACCUUCAAGCUUUGCUUGGUGUUGGGUGUUUGUCCAUUCUCUUGCAGAGGGACUCGCCUUAAAGUAAUUGGCAGCCAGUGUUUUGGUUUUGAAGCGCAGCACAAGUCGCGAUUCAAAGCUAUACGCCCGCUUCACAAGCCUUUUUCACUUUUGACCUCGGAUCAGGUAGGGAUACCCGCUGAACUUAAGCAUAUCAAUAAGCGGAGGA